GCCCGUGUAGCUCAGGGGUAGAGCAUUGUACUUAUGAGGCUAACUAAUAACCUGCGUUAACAUUAAUGCAAGGGUCCCGAGUUCAAUCCUCGGCGUGGGCA